GGGAGUCGGCCAUCAUGCUGGCCCCGGAGGCCGUUAGCUUAGUCAUGGCUCUAAAUAUGUACCUGCAAUCGGAUGUUGAGGAUCACCGAGCCCGCGACGUAGAAGUACGGGAAGUUCAUGCGCAGCUGCCAGGCCAGCUCGAAGAAGGCGAGCAGGGUGCGGGAGAGCCCCUUGCAGAAGACGCCGUACGAGGUUCUCCAGCAUUUGGCUCAAGGCCCCAAGGGCACAUGUGACAAGAAGGCGCCAGCUUUUUAAACAUUGGAAGUUCUUCUGUGUCAGUUCUGUGACAGAACAUUUACUUAACACAUCAUGAAGGCUAGUUUGGAUGUGGAGGGGAAUAGACUCCAUCUAUCCAUAUGAGCUGCUGCAGAAGAAUAUUUUGCCUGCUGGAACCUGCUGUAUCUACUCAAGAGUGGAAGUUUUCACAGAUGUGAACUAUGAAGACUUUACUUUCACCAUACCAGAUGUAGAGGACUCAAGUCAGAGACCAGAUCAGGGACCCCAGAGACCUCCUCCUGAAGGACUCCUACCUAGACCCCCUGGUGAUAGUGGUAACCAAGAUGAUGGUCCUCAGCAGAGACCACCAAAACCAGGAGGCCAUCACCGCCAUCCUCCCCCACCUCCUUUUCAAAAUCAGCAACGACCACCCCGACGAGGACACCGUCAACUCUCUCUACCCCGAUUUCCUUCUGUCAGCCUGCAGGAAGCAUCAUCAUUCUUCCAGAGGGACAGACCAGCAAGACAUCCCCAGGAGCAACCACUCUGGUAAUCUAGAAUUCAGUGGCAGAAAAUAAAUAAGAAGAUAACUUCCUUCAGAAAGCCAUGACAUUGAAAUAAUGUGGUCAUAACUCUUUCUUCAGUAUACCAAUAAAAUAUUAAUAGCAUGCAA
rnacentral:misc_RNA from 1 species